AUGAAGAAAAUGUAAAUUUGAAGAAUUCCGUACUAUACUAUUGUUGUUUGGAGCAAAGAUGUGGCUCUCAAGAAGUGUUAGGGUUUCUCUUCUUCCUUCCAUUGUUAAGUUUCCUCCUUUUCUUCCAAUGCACAAUUUCCUCUUUUGCUCUCACUCUCACUCUCAAACUUCCUUACACGACGAAGCCGUCUCACAAUUCAAUAGCUUGCUUCGUGAGCGUCAUGUUCCUCCCAUCUUCGAAUUUGGAAAGAUUUUGGGAUUUCUUGUGAGAAUGAAGCAGUAUCAUACUGCUAUUUCUCUCAUUAAGCAAAUGGAGCUCAAGGGAAUUCACAAUAACCUUGUUAAUCUCAACCUCCUCAUCAAUUGUUUCUGUCACUUACACAAAUUGUCUUUCGCUUUCUCUGUAUUUGCCAAGAUUCUCAAAAGGGGUUAUCAUUCAGAUGCCAUAACCUUAACUACACUCAUCAGAGGUCUGUGUGAUAAGGGUGAGGUCAAGGAAGCCCUCAAUCUUCACGAUAAAGUAAUAGCACUAGGAUUUCGGCUCAACGAAUUUACUUACGUGACUCUGAUUAAUGGAUUGAGCAAAAUAGGAGAAACUGAAGCCGCCAUCGAAUUGUUCAGAAAGAUUCAAGGUCGAUCAAGCGUAAUGUACAACAUUAUUAUUGACUCUUUAUUGAAAGAGAAUCAUCCGGAAGAAGCUUAUGGUCUGUAUUCUGAGAUGGUUACGAAGGGAAUUUUUCCUGAUGUUGUUACUUAUAGUACUCUAAUUUAUGGCUUUUGCUUAGUAGGACAGGUAGAAGUAGCAUUUGCUUUUUUAAAUGAAAUGUUAUCAAAUAGCAUCGGGCCAAAUGUUUAUACCUAUAAUAUAUUGAUUGAUGCAUUGUGUAAGGAAAGAAAAUUAAGAGAAGCCAAGAAUGUGUUAGGUGUGAUGGUGAAAGCUUAUGUGAAACCUGAUGUUGUUAGCUUUAAUGCUCUAAUAGAUGGAUAUUACUUAGUUAAUGAAGUGAAGAAUGCGAAACAAGUAUUCAUUGCAAUGAUCCACAUGGGAGUGAGUCCUUGUGUUAGGACCUACAAUAUCAUGAUAAAUGGACUCAUAAGGAACAAAAGGGUGAAUGAGGCCAUAAAUCUCUUUCAGGAAAUGCACAGCAGGAAUAUGGUGCCCGAUACAGUGACUUUCACAACUCUUAUUGAUGGUUUAUGCAAAACUGGAAGAAUAUCUCAUGCUUGGGAUCUUUUUCGUGAGAUGCAUGGUAGAAAUCAACAAGCAGACGUAAUGACUUAUAAUUCCUUGAUUGAUGGUUUAUGUAAAAAUCAUCGUCUAGACAAGGCAAUUGAAUUAUUGAGGAAAAUGAGAGAGAAUGGAGUUCAGCCCAAUAUGUACACUCCAACAAUACUUAUUGAUGGGAUGUGUAGAGGGGGGAGACUUAAGGAUGCACAUGAUAUUUUUCAAGAACUAUUGAAUAAAGGUCACAAUCCCAACAUCCGAACUUAUACUAUUAUGAUCCAAGGUCUUUGUAGAGAGGGUUUGCUUGAUGAGGCAUUGACCUUGUGGUCCAAAAUGGAAGACAAUGGUUGUUUAUCUGAUGUUAUAACUUUUGAAAUAAUCAUCUUUGCUCUCUUUAAGAACGACAAGACUGAAAAGGCAGAGAAAUUUUUGCACGAAAUGAUCUCUAGAGACUUGUUGAAAUGAUGAAAGGUGACACCUUAUUUGAAUAACAAGUUACAUUUAUGUGUUUGUCGUAGAAUGUGCAUGAAUGGUUUGUAAAUUUUAUAUUAGAUGAGUUGGUUUAGGCUGUAACCUUUGUUGCUGAUGUUUUCCUUGUCAAGGGUUGAUACAUUUUUAUUUUCUAUUCUUCAUUUUGAUUGCUAUCAAACUUCUGUUUCCUUUGACAUUACAUUUUAUUUGUAGAAUUUAUUUAACUGGGUUGUACAAAGGUUGAAAUCAAUGAUUUUAUUGUCUUUCAAGACCAAAACUGUGACCUCCCUUCCUAUGUCUAAAACCUUGAUGAUUUUUCUAUUUCCAACUGUUUGAUAUUUCCCAUUCAUGUUUGUCAGAGACCAAAUAUGUUUUUUCUUUAGGGCCUUCAGUGUUGCACUUCAGGGAACCAAUCCCAAAGAACAAGCACAGUUACGAAGUUUAGGGAUCUUAACCUUGGCAAUAAUCAUCUUAUGAUGUGUCUAUGCCCAAAGAACUUUUAAGUCUUUCUGAAUUCUUCCGAGAGAAGAAUCUCUCAUGUCUAUUUCUUACUCUCACUCUAUUAAUUGCUGGUUCAGUACCACCAGAACUUGGUAAUACAGCACAAUUGGAUACAUUGUUUCUCCAUAAUAUUGGCUGAUUUUAUCUCGAUUGAAACCAAUAUUGCAGAUAUAUAACUUUGAAAUUUGACACAUUUAAUGGAAUUACAUCUAUCAAAUAAUUUACUCACAAAUUCAAUCCCUUCUGCAUUGGACCAAUAAGAGAACUAGACUAUUUUGUACUUUCAAAACAGCAAAAUUUCUGGUCAUAUAUCGGUAGAAUUUGGAAAUCUGAAAAAGAUAUUUGCUAGAUGAGUGUGCCUCCUUUUUUUUUGUUCGUAUAUUUUGAAUUAUUUCUCCAUGUUGUUCCCACAAGAGUUAUUUGAAAAAUUUCCUGGUUUGUUUUUAUUUCCCAUAUACUUUGAUUUCUUCCUCCUUGAAACCUCCGCUAAAUGAAUAUUAUGCAGCCUAUUAUUUGACUUCAUAACAUGGAGAUGAUCAAGCUGAAGUCUAAAAGAACUAGAGAUAUACCACUACUUGUGUGUAUGAAGGAUCAUGACACAACUUCCUUUCGUUUAAGUAUGGUUAUACAUAACUAGCUGAUAAAGUUCUUAUUUAGUUAUAUAUGUAGAAAUUACAUAAUUACAAUGAUAAAGUUCUUAAAUUAAUUGCAUAGCCAUGUAUGGAACUCAAAUAUUCUAUUUGCUGUUGAGUUAAGGUUGCUGAAGACUAAUCUAUAGUUUCAACCUCCUUGACAACGGUGGUGGCACCAAGUGCAUGGCUGUCAGAGUUGGAAACCAAAGUAGUCAAAAGGUCAAACAGAUCAGUGGCUAUAACUGCCGAGAUUAAGUCCUCUUUGUGCAAAGUCAUCAACGAAGAGCUCAUAAUCCUGGGAGAAAAUAAUUGAAGCGUCCUCUGAUAUCAUUUUAUGUUAGGGGCUGAAGAGUAUAUGAGAGAAGGAGAAAAGUAGGGAAGUGAGUGAGAAAACCUACCUGUGUUAACAGUUAGGAGAAGGCGGGAAGGCUGUCUAUAAAAGAGAACCUUUUGUAUUUCUGUUGGAGUUAGUUAGUCAUAUUCUUUUGUAUAGACAGGUCUUGGACCUAGUGAGGGGGAUUAGGCUUCCGAGUACCCAUUGUACUUGUACUUUUGACCUUUGUUAAUACAGAAUAUACUUUUCUUUUCAUCUGUGUUCGUACUUUGGAGUUAAGAGUGUGAAAGAUAGGUUUCAAUUUACCAGAAACCUAUCAUUUUAACAUCCUCACCCAAUUUCUUCAUGAUCUUCUUUAUCCUUGCCAAGGGCAGAGAGUGAAGCCCUGCCCUUCCAGCUUGUUUCAUAUCUGUUCUACUUCACUACUGUGUGUUUCUGAGCUAACUUCAGUUUUAGUAGUCUCUAAGAUACUCUUAAUUGUAGCAUCAGUGUCAAGUUUCAGUGUUAUAUACACCAUUUUCAUUGUAUCUUUCAGAGUUUCAUUCCAAUAACAUUGCUGGCCAAGACUACUUUGGCUGGCUAAGUGGAUCUAUAAUAAAUAAUUAUGAAUCUUUAACUCCAAUAUUAUUAUUUUGUUUAUGUAUUUGUUGCUUGUGUCUAGAAACAUUAGGGAUCGAGAAGUGUAAAAUGAUUAUGUAAUGAUUUGACUUAUUUCUUGGUAUAGCAUUAUAAAUAAUGACAAGGGUUCUUCUCUACAAGUAUUUAGCAAUUUGAAAGGAUUGCUUAAUCAAAGAAAUAUUUUAGACAUAGAUACAGUUUUUUGGAGUCACCAUCUGCAACAAUCAGUUUUCUAAAAUCAGACCAGUCAUUUUACUUUUGAGUCCCAAGGCCAGCCCUGGUCCUUUCUAGACUUAUGCCAAAUUUCUUGACCCACAGUUCUGAACCCCCUGGCCCCCACAUCCCCCAUGAAAGGGGUUGCCAUUCCACUAAGGCUGAGUCAACCCCUAAAUGUAAAUUUUCUUCUGCACAAACAUUUCUCCAGUACUAGAGCUAGACAGCAGUACCGAUGGCAGCACAAAGUGAAGUUUGACAGCAGCACUGAUGGCAGCACCCGGUGGAGCUCGAUGGCAGCUCUUGUUGGCCGGACACCUGGGUCUCUUAGGAUCUCAAACAUCUCAUGGGCUUUCUUAAUCCUUUGAUACUCCCCUUUUGCUUUUUUGGAUGCUUGAGCUUGUAUGUCUUUCAACUUGUCCAGAGUCUCUUGGCAUGAUUUUAGAGCUGUGACUACCAUCAAAGUUCUUGCAUCAUUUUCUUCUAUCACUAUCCCAAAACCAAAAUCAUCUUGCAACACUAAGUCAGUGAGUAAAAGGAAAACCAGAUUGAUGAAAUGUGAAGUAUAUUAAAACUGAUAUCACUCUUUUGUGUUCUGGCCUUUAUUAAACGUGAGAUUAUACCCAACUCAUACACCUAUUUCUCUCUUAAGCCUAGUAUAGUCUAGUUUAGAAUAUCUUUGUUUUGUUGGUGUAGUUCUUUUAACAAUAUUUGUUUUACAAUUUCCAGCAAAUAGUUUUGUUUUUCCUUCAGAAUGAGUUAGUAUAGGUACCAUAUUUUGAUUCCUCCUUAGGAAGUAGGUAGGCUAGUUUGCUUACAACUCUAUAUUGAUGAAAUGAAUUUGCUUAGUCUAGUUCAAUUGUGGUUUUUGUUUCUGUAAUUGAAUUCAGCUAAGUCUAGUGAAUUUUCUUUUAGUUAUAGUCUAGUAGCAUAGUUAAAUUCUGCAGUUUUAAUUUUUAAUAACUAGAAAGGUAUAGUUGUAGAUUAGUUCAGUGAAUUUGAGUUUCUUUUGAAUAAAGAUUAGAGCUAGUUAGAAGUAAGAAGUUAAUUUUUAGAUUGUUCUAUUUUACUCAGUACUUUUAAGGCUAGUGUAGGGGCAUUUUCAGAUUAUGGUUUUAUAAUUCUAGAGAGUAGAUAAUUUUUAGAAUGGUUUCUAAUGGUAAAUUUAGGUUUGUUAGCAUAGUUAUGAUAAUGUUUUGGUAGUUUAGCAUUAGGAUAUAGGUUUAGGACAGUUUUUAAAUUUUCUGCAUAUUAGAAUAUCAUAACUGAGUCCCAUUUGUUUCCUUGUUCUAGCAACAAACAAAUCUCCAGACUUAAUGAAUCCUAGAAUUCUUCCAGUGAUUUUCCAGAAUGGUAAAUGUGCCACUGCUUCUUUCCUCCCAAGUGAAACUAUUGCAAUUACUGAAUGUGGCUUGUCUCUCAGACGUCUACAACAAGUGAAGCAAGAGUUGCCUUGUCAAGAAUAAGCUUGAAACACUGUUCAGGGUAUUAAUUAGAUGAAAAACAUAAAAAGUUUAAUAUCAUUAUAUUUACAUUCUGGAUUUGUAAUUUAUAUUUCUUUUAUGGAUUCUUGAUGCAGCUUGAACAAUAAAUUGUGACAGAUGGUGGGUCAAUCUGUAUGGAAUUGAAUUUCAGUGGGUGACUGGGUGGGUUUGUAGAGAUGCUUGUGUUAUGAUUCUCAUCUUUGUUAAAGAUUAUCCUUUAUUUUAUUUCCAUAGUGAAUGUAUGGUUUUUGUGAAGAUAUAAGAUUCCAUUUAGUGUACCUUUUUCUUCACCAAAAAGCUCUUCAUAAUUUAUAAUCCAUUGCAUGCUUUAAUGAAGGAUGAUCGCACCAUCAAAUGAUCUUUGCCUCUUGUAUUUCUCUUUUGAACAAGGGUGGAAUAUAUUUUUUAUUCUACAGAUAUGAUUUUUUUUGAUUCAGCAUUUGAUCAAUUGCCAUAUGUUUCUCUGUUUUUAUUAUGUAGUUCAAGUUGGGUUUGGGUUUGUUAUUGUAGAAGUGCCUAUUUUUUGUUUCUACUUUUAUUAUUAUGUUUUUUUAUGCUAAAAAGAAAGGUUCAAGUUGGUUCUGUGGAUUUUUUUAAUAAAAAAUGUUUUUGGUCUUGGAAUUAUUUGGCCUCAACCCUUAUGGAUUGAAGCCAAAUCCUAGAAAAUGAGCUGCAUUGACAGGUUUAAGUGGUGCGAAGCCCUGACUUCGAACCCUGCUGAAACCAAAGUGGGGUUUUUGUUUUUCUAAUUUCAUUCACUCUGUUUUAUAUUUUUUUUUCUUUCAAAAAUUGCUUUAUUGGCCGAAUAAACCCCAUGAGAGAGAAAAGAGAAAACCCAUUCUCUUCUCCAACCUUAUUGAAACGCAGACCUUCAUCUUUCCUUUCCAAUUUUCUUUUCUUCUUCAAAACUCAAACCGUAGGGCAAAUGGGGGCUUUGUGCGGCAAGGGAUAGAACUCAUUCUCUUCUUGCUUUGAGCGUCAACCUACGCUACUCUCCUUCUCUUUUCUUUUAUUGUUUGAAAACUUGGGAAACCUAGGGUUAGAAAAGGGAUGGCCUCUGCUGUACGACCGGUAUUAGAGCAAUGUAGUUGAGAGUGAGAGUUUAGAGUCCGUGACAGGACAUUAGAGUUGGAAGCGAGAGAUUCAGAGUUUGCAACGGAGGGGGUAGUUGUGGUGAAGCCGAGACAGGUAUGGGAGUUAAUUCUAUUUUGUGUAUGUGAUUGGAUUCUUGCUACAUGAUUCUUGCGUGUUCCUUUUAAUUAUGUUUGUUGGUAUGCAAUUGUCUCCGUUACUGGUAUAUUGAAAGUAUAAAUGAUGUUUCAUUGAAUUAAUUUCAGUAUGCUAUAUUACUUGUGAAUUAGAGUCAGAAUAGAUGUUGGUGAUGUGGUUCUGUCCGCUGUGUUGGGGUAUUAUGUAGUUGGACUGAAAUUGAGAUAAUCAUAAGAUCAAAUGAAGGACUGGUGUGCAUGUUUUAGUAGAAUGAAUGAACUAUGGUAAUGGAGUAUUAUUAUGAUGCUCUGGUGCAGUUUCGUUGUAUAUAUAUACAAUCUAUUUGAAAAAAAAAAUGGAACGAAACAGUAGGGAAAAGUAGUAGUUAAUGCAUAUAAUGUUAAGUUCUCUCAUAUGGUUUAAACAGGAAGGAAAUUGACGCUUGAACCUUUGAUAUGUGCAUGAAAAAUGAUUUUUGGUUGGCUGAUUUCUUUAAAUGGUGAAAACUGUUUCAGAAUUAGUUGAUGGUAUAGUAGGUGAUUUAAUCAUGUGCAUAUGAAAAUCUUGCUGGUCCUGUUCUGUUUCUAGGUGUAGUCAUACGUUAAAACCCUUUCUGUCCUGAACCAUAUCAUUACUGAAUUGGUAUACUGGAUUUUGGUGUAUCUGUUUGCUUGGGCAGUACUAGAAUGUUAUGCUGGGAAGGGUAGGGUAUAUUACUUUGCGGUGUAAUGAACUAGAUUAUUAGGAGUUGGAAUAUAUGUGGUUUAGUGCUCUGGUUUGAAUGUAUACCUAAUAUAACUCAGAAUUAGAUGAAAUAUAUUUUUGUACGAAGGCUGACUUUGCUUAAAUGAUGCUGGACCGUGAGCUUGCAUAACAAUAUAUUUUGAAUUGGGAAUGAUCAUGAACAUGUGCCCUGUUGAAAUGUUGUACGUUAUAUAUAUAAAUGUCUUAAUUUUGGUCUGGAGUAUUUAGAUUGCUUGACUGGGUUUUGAUGUUGUGUAUAUAUACCCAUGGAUUGGUAACAGGGGCGGUGAUAGGUUUCUGGUAAUGAAACCUAUAAUCUUUCUACACUUUAACACGCACAGAACCACCCACAAUUGCUGAAUAACCUCCUCUGUUUAUUAAGAACAAGAAAGAAUACAAGAAUGUAGGAAAGUGAGAGCCUAAUCUCCCCCAAUCAGACUAAACAGUCUGUUCAAGAUACAAGGAUGAACAAAAGUAUCUAUCCUUCUCCUCACUAACUAUUUAUACAAGUAUUACCCGAUACAUUCCCCCUUCCUAACUGAUAAAACAGUUAGGCCACUGACCCACUAACUAACUAACUACUUACUCACAUCUCUUCCUUCUCACAUACACCUUUAACCUCCUAUCAGGCGGGACUAAGAAUAGAUGUGAAUUGAUGCUGUCAUAUACUAGUUUAUAUAGGAGUAAUUGUUACAGUAUUGGGUAGUGCUGCUGGACUGGAAAUUUACGUAUGAAUGUGGUCUUUCACUUUAAAUGUGGAAUGUGCUAUGUUUGAAUGUUGGGUGUUGUGGUUAUAUUCAUGAUAGCAAUGUUGGCAGAUUUGUAUAUGCUGUUUAAGUGUUCCAGUUUGCAUGUAUUCAUGAAACUAAUUUUGGGCAGUUCAAACCUGCUUGGCAUUGUUUUUUUAGUGGUUAAAUUAUUGGGUGAUGAUACCUAGAUAGAGUUGGAGUUGGUUAACGAGUUUUAACACUGAAAUUAACUUGGGUUUGAAUUGAAAAGAGCUGGUAAGAAUCUGUUUAAGGUUGUGUACAUUGUUUGGAAGAAUUGAGUCAAUCUUUGACUAUCAUAUUGCAUAAAUUAUUGUCUCUGGUUGCUGGAACUUAUUCUGCACAUACUAUUAUACGGGGUUAUACUGCAUUCAUGGCUGUUUAAAUUGUUUGGAUGAAUUGAAUAAAACUAUGGCUAUUUUACUGCAAUGAUUAAGGUUUUGUUUCUAGAUUGAUAGAAAAUUUCACGAUAGUAUGGUUGGUAUGGGCAGAACAUGAUUUCCAAAUUUAUAGUAUGUACUAAAUGGUCUUAAUGCAGUUUUAUGACAGGGUUGUUUAAUUUCAUGAUUGUUUAGAAAGAAUUAAAGUUCUGGAAACCUUGGUUUGAUUCUAAUUAACUAAUGCUGAUGUCUAGUUUGAUAUGAGCCUCUUAAAUGAGUGUACAUGAUGUUAUAUGAUUGAUUUAGAAGCUGUCUUGUCUGUUUGGCUGUACAUUUCGCUGAAUAAUAUGAGUAUACUCGUUUAUAGCGAGUUUGAGACUGCCAUUGAAUAAGUGCUGUUUUAAAUACUCUUUCCGUGUGAAACGUUAAAUGAAAGGCAACGCUUAUGUGUACUAAUGGUUUAGGUAACGUGAUGAUGUGUUAGAUUCAGCUUGCUGCUGUGUUUAGGGUUAGACGUUAUUGCAUUAAAGUUGAUAUUAGGUUAUUUUGAUGUAAAUAUUGGCUGUUGCACCGUGAAGUUGCAUGAUAAUGUGCUGUCAAUUGGUUGUGGGUAAUGUACUAUGAUGCAUAUAGGUCAAUGCUGUUAUACACAGAUUUUAUUUAUGCAAUGGUCAUGGUUAUUAGAUAACAAUGUAUACUGCAAAGUGAUAGAAACCCAACAAUAAACUGAAUAUCACAGGUAUAUUAUUAAAGUAUUAUGCAGUAAAAGAUGAUUGAGCUAAAAGCUCUACAGCGACAAGGAAAAAAACCAGAGUACUAGACUCCUCCAGAGGAUGACUCUCCUCCUACCCAACUCAACUUUCUUUCCAUGAUCCCCCCUCACUCUCCCUACUCUCUCUUAUAACAGAAUUAUCCCAUGAUUCUUGACACGUCAUUCCCCAUCCUAACUAACUUUUCCCUAUUUCUUCUCCUAACCCCACUUUUUUUCUUCUUACAUACACAUUCCAUAUUUUGGGCCUAUCUAUUUCUUCUAUAUUUUUUCUUGGCUGAGUAACAAGCCCAUGUGCACUUCUCACCUUGUGAUCCUUAUUAUGAGUCCUAUCAUUACUCCCUUCUGCAACAACAGCCUUGUCCUCAAGGCUGAAAGAAGGAAAUUGACCUUGUAGUAGCACUUCACCUUUCCAAGUUAUCUCUUUCUUUGUUCUUCUCUUCCAUUCCACCCACCAUUGUUUGAUGAUGUUACUGCCCUUCGGAAUCUCCCUGGCUGCUAGCACUGUCUCAAGCUCUUCCUUAUUUUCCUCCUUAAAAGUCAACUUUGUUGGUAAAGUCGAUUCUACUGCCUGGUUUUCAAUAGCCUUUUUUAGUUGGAAAAUGUGAAAAACUAAAUGUACUUUAGCUAAUUCCGACAGCUA